GUGCUUAACACAUGCAAGUCGAACGGGAAUUAUUUUAUUGAAACUUCGGUCGAUUUAAUUUAAUUCUAGUGGCGGACGGGUGAGUAACGCGUGGGUAACCUGCCUUAUACAGGGGGAUAACAGUCAGAAAUGGCUGCUAAUACCGCAUAAGCGCACAGAGCUGCAUGGCUCAGUGUGAAAAACUCCGGUGGUAUAAGAUGGACCCGCGUUGGAUUAGCUAGUUGGUGGGGUAACGGCUCACCAAGGCGACGAUCCAUAGCCGGCCUGAGAGGGUGAACGGCCACAUUGGGACUGAGACACGGCCCAGACUCCUACGGGAGGCAGCAGUGGGGAAUAUUGCACAAUGGGGGAAACCCUGAUGCAGCGACGCCGCGUGAAGGAAGAAGUAUCUCGGUAUGUAAACUUCUAUCAGCAGGGAAGAUAGUGACGGUACCUGACUAAGAAGCCCCGGCUAACUACGUGCCAGCAGCCGCGGUAAUACGUAGGGGGCAAGCGUUAUCCGGAUUUACUGGGUGUAAAGGGAGCGUAGACGGUGUGGCAAGUCUGAUGUGAAAGGCAUGGGCUCAACCUGUGGACUGCAUUGGAAACUGUCAUACUUGAGUGCCGGAGGGGUAAGCGGAAUUCCUAGUG
rnacentral:rRNA from 1 species